GAUGAACGCUGGCGGCGUGCCUAAUACAUGCAAGUCGAGCGAACAGACGAGGAGCUUGCUCCUCUGACGUUAGCGGCGGACGGGUGAGUAACACGUGGAUAACCUACCUAUAAGACUGGGAUAACUUCGGGAAACCGGAGCUAAUACCGGAUAAUAUAUUGAACCGCAUGGUUCAAUAGUGAAAGACGGUUUUGCUGUCACUUAUAGAUGGAUCCGCGCCGCAUUAGCUAGUUGGUAAGGUAACGGCUUACCCAGGCAACGAUGCGUAGCCGACCUGAGAGGGUGAUCGGCCACACUGGAACUGAGACACGGUCCAGACUCCUACGGGAGGCACCAGUAGGGAAUCUUCCGCAAUGGGCGAAAGCCUGACGGAGCAACGCCGCGUGAGUGAUGAAGGUCUUCGGAUCGUAAAACUCUGUUAUUAGGGAAGAACAAAUGUGUAAGUAACUAUGCACGUCUUGACGGUACCUAAUCAGAAAGCCACGGCUAACUACGUG
rnacentral:rRNA from 1 species